rnacentral:rRNA from 1 species
UACGGAAGGCAGCAGUGGGGAAUAUUGCACAAUGGGCGCAAGCCUGAUGCAGCCAUGCCGCGUGUAUGAAGAAGGCCUUCGGGUUGUAAAGUACUUUCAGUCGUGAGGAAGGUGUUAAGGUUAAUAACCUUAGCAAUUGACGUUAGCGACAGAAGAAGCACCGGCUAACUCCGUGCCAGCAGCCGCGGUAAUACGGAGGGUGCGAGCGUUAAUCGGAAUUACUGGGCGUAAAGGGCACGCAGGCGGUUAAUUAAGUUGGAUGUGAAAUCCCCGGGCUUAACCUGGGAAUGGCAUUCAAGCUGGUUAGCUAGAGUCUUGUAGAGGGGGUAGAAUUCCGAUGUGUAGCGGUGAAAUGCGUAGAGAUGUGGAGGAAUACCGGUGGCGAAGGCGGCCCCUGGACAAAGACUGACGCUCAUGUGCGAAAGCGUGGGGAGCAAAC